ACCUCCUCAGUUGUGGAUACUUUGAAGUUGCAUUUUUGCUAGCCUGAGUUAGGAGCUCAGCUCCCAAAGCCAAGGCUGUCAUUGGAAUCACCACUGUAAUUUUGAAUUAGGAAUCUCUUCCUUGCCCCCUAAACAGGAAGACCUUCAGAAUGUCCUGUGGCAAGAGCCAAGGGGAUUUGAAAGUUUCAGGACUUAGAGGGCUUGAGAAAAGGAUGAGUUUCAAGACGUGAACUCUACAUUAUCUCUCAGCUCCAAAGCUGAAACCUUGCGCAUUUGAAAUAGGUAUCCAUUAGUAGAUGGCUUAUUAUUUUUUUUAAGAUUGUAUUUAUUUAUUCAUAAGAGACAUGGAGAGAAAGGCAGAGACACAGGCAGACAUAGUCCUGAUGUAGGACUCGAUCCCAGGACCACAGGAUCACACUCUGAGCCGAAGGCAGGUGCUCAACCACUGAGCCACCCAGGUGAUCCUCUAGCUGGCUUAUUUUGAGGACAUUCUUGAACUCUGAUUCAUUUGCUACUCUGUCCUCAAAAAUAAACGUAUAUAAGUGGGAGAAGGGAGGUGGAGCUCUCGCUUUGUUACUUUCUCUGAACCUGUGUGUGUUCAGGUCCUCACUUGCCUGCUCUUGGUCGUUAGACUGUCCAGGGAUAUUGCAACAGCUGGGGGAGUCAUCUGGAAAUGAAUGGGACAAGGGCCAGGAAUAGUCCUGGGCAGAGUCUUCCUAUGAAAUGACAGGAAGCAUGACUAGUGGCAGUUCAAGUGGGGGGGUCUUCACCACACUUCAAUGGGAAUGGCAGCUAGUAUAGCCCUGUGAGGUUAGGAAGGGCCAUACAUACUUCAGUCACAGCAGGGGUUUUCAGAGGCAGGUGGCUCCUGUGAAGCUGGCCAUCACUGACAGGGCCUCUCAAAGGCCUUGUCUCACCACCAAGGACUUCUAAUCUGCCCACUCUGAUGACUGCCUGUCUGCUGUUGCUUCCAGCUGGUGGAUAUACUGAGGGUUUGGGGGGGAAUGCACUCUUCUCAAACCUAUUACUCUUAUUGCAUGUGUCUUUCAGAUUCUUUAUUUUGGGUUCUUCUCGUUGCUGUCAAUUCCUUCAGGUUUUGAAAAGCAACCUGGGGGAAGACUCACUAGUUUCUACUUUCUAUCUAGUUUCAUUCUUCCUCCGCGAGCACAGUGUGACCUCACUGCUUGAAUGAAGCAUAAGUGAGGAAGAAAAAGUGAACUGCCAUAAAGCAAAAUAAAAA
rnacentral:lncRNA from 1 species